CCUACGGGGGGCUGCAGUGGGGAAUCUUGCGCAAUGCGCGAAAGCGUGACGCAGCAACGCCGCGUGGGGGAAGAAGGCCUUCGGGUUGUAAACCCCUUUCAGGAGGGACGCGGUACCUCCAGAAGAAGCUCCGGCUAACUACGUGCCAGCAGCCGCGGUAAUACGUAGGGAGCAAGCGUUGUCCGGAAUCAUUGGGCGUAAAGCGCGCGUAGGCGGCCCGGUAAGUCUGUUGUAAAAGUCGAAGGCUCAACCUUCGAAAGCCGAUGGAUACUGCCGGGCUAGAGUUCGGAAGAGGCGAGUGGAAUUCCUGGUGUAGCGGUGGAAUGCGCAGAUAUCAGGAGGAACACCUAUAGCGAAGGCAGCUCGCUGUCGACACUGACGCUAAGGCGCGAAAGCGUGGGGAGCGAACAGGAUUAGAUACCCUUGUAGUC
rnacentral:rRNA from 1 species